GACGAACGCUGGCGGCGUGCCUAAUACAUGCAAGUAGAACGCUGAAGAGAGGAGCUUGCUCUUCUUGGAUGAGUUGCGAACGGGUGAGUAACGCGUAGGUAACCUGCCUUGUAGCGGGGGAUAACUAUUGGAAACGAUAGCUAAUACCGCAUAACAAUGGAUGACACAUGUCAUUUAUUUGAAAGGGGCAAUUGCUCCACUACAAGAUGGACCUGCGUUGUAUUAGCUAGUAGGUGAGGUAAUGGCUCACCUAGGCGACGAUACAUAGCCGACCUGAGAGGGUGAUCGGCCACACUGGGACUGAGACACGGCCCAGACUCCUACGGGAGGCAGCAGUAGGGAAUCUUCGGCAAUGGGGGCAACCCUGACCGAGCAACGCCGCGUGAGUGAAGAAGGUUUUCGGAUCGUAAAGCUCUGUUGUACGUCAAGAACGGGUGUGAGAGUGGAAAGUUCACACUGUGACGGUAGCUUACCAGAAAGGGACGGCUAACUACGUG
rnacentral:rRNA from 1 species